UGAGGAAUUUUGCGCAAUGGCCGCAAGGCUGACGCAGCAACGCCGCGUGGGUGAUGAAGGCCUUCGGGUCGUAAAGCCCUGUCAGGUGGGAAGAAAGGCCUUAAGGAGAAAGACUUGAGGUUUGACGGUACCACCAGAGGAAGCACCGGCUAACUCCGUGCCAGCAGCCGCGGUAAUACGGAGGGUGCGGGCGUUAUGCGGAAUUACGGGGCGUAAAGCGCGGGUAGGCGGGGGGACAAGUCUGAUGUGAAAGCCCUGGGCUUAACCUGGGAAGCGCAUUGGAAACUGUUAUUCUUGAGUACUGGAGAGGAAGGGGGAAUUCCCGGUGUAGCGGUGAAAUUCGUAGAGAUCGGGAGGAAUACCAGUGGCGUAGGCGCCCUUCUGGACGGUAACUGACGCUGAGACGCGAAAGCGUGGGGAGCAAACAG
rnacentral:rRNA from 1 species